GCCGGCGUAGCUCAGUCGGUAGAGCAACGGUUUUGUAAACCGUAGGUCGGAGGUUCGAAUCCUCUCGCCGGCU
rnacentral:tRNA from 1 species